CCGGCCCAGGUGGCAGGCGCGCCCGUUGGGCACUGGGGGACGCGGGCGCGUCAGGUGAAGACUGGGGGCUGCAGGCGCGCUAGGAGAACUAUGCCAUUUUUGGGUCAGGACUGGAGAUCUCCUGGAUGGAGUUGGAUUAAGACAGAAGAUGGCUGGAAGAAUUGUGAAUCUUGUAGUCAGAAACUUGAAAGAGAGAAUAACCAUUGUAACAUCAGUCACAGCAUUAUCUUAAAUAGCGAAGAUGGAGAAAUACUCAAUAAUGAAGAGCAUGAAUAUGCAUCCAAAAAAAGAAAAAGGACCAUUUUAGAAAUGACACAAAUACUCAAAGUUUUUAUCAUGAAAAAUGGAUCUAUGUCCAUAAAGAAAGCACAAAAGAAAGGCAUGGCUAUUGCACCUUGGGAGAAACCUUUAAUCGGUUAGACUUCUCAAGUGCAAUUCAAGAUACCCGAAGGUUCAAUUAUGUGGUCAAACUGCAGGACAAAUUCGAGCAUCUUAAAAUGAUUCAACAGGAGGAGAUAAG
rnacentral:lncRNA from 1 species